AGCGGAAGACGGGAUUCGAACCCGCGACCCCAACCUUGGCAAGGUUGUAUUCUACCACUGAACUACUUCCGC
rnacentral:tRNA from 2 species